UAGCGUAGGGGGCAAGCGUUGUCCGGAAUUCAUUGGGCGUAAAGCGCGUGUAGGCGGCUGGCUAAGUCCGCUCUGAAAGCCCCGGGGCUCAACCCCGGGGAGCGGGUGGAUACUGGUCAGCUCGAGUCCGGGAAGAGGAGGUGUGGAAUUCCUGGUGUAGCGGUGAAAUGCGCAGAUAUCAGGAGGAACACCAAUGGCGAAGGCAGCACUCUGGGACGGUACUGACGCUGAGACGCGAAAGCGUGGGGGAGCAAACAGG
rnacentral:rRNA from 1 species